AUUGAACGCUGGCGGCAGGCCUAACACAUGCAAGUCGAACGAGUGGCGGACGGGUGAGUAAUGUCUGGGAAACUGCCUGCUGGAGGGGGAUAACUACUGGAACCUGUAGCUAAUACCGCAUCCCAUCGGAUGUGCCCAUAUGGGAUUAGCUAGUGGGUGGGGUAACGGCUCACCUAGGCGACGAUCCCUAGCUGGUCUGAGAGGAUGACCAGCCCCACUGGAACUGAGACACGGUCCAGACUCCUACGGGAGGCAGCAGUGGGGAAUAUUGCACAAUGGGCGCAAGCCUGAUGCAGCCAUGCGGCGUGUAUGAAGAAGGCAUUCGGGUUGUAAAGUACUUUCAGCGGGGAGGCGUUACCCGCAGAAGAAGCACCGGCUAACUCCGUGCCAGCAGCCGCGGUAAUUC
rnacentral:rRNA from 1 species